CCCCUUAGACGUUCUGGGCCGCACGCGCGCUACACUGACACUUACACCGAGUUUUUCCAAUGCCGAAAGGCCAUUGGUAAUCAGCAAUAAGUGUCGUGAUGGGGAUAGAUCUUUGGAAUUAUUGAUCUUGAACGAGGAAUGCCUAGUAAUCGUAGGUCAUCAGCCUGCGAUGAUUACGUCCCUGCCCUUUGUACACACCGCCCGUCGCUCCUACCGAUUUCGAGUGGUUCGGUGAACCUUUCGGACCGGCAAUGCCUCGUGUUGCGCCGGAAAGUCAAGUAAACCAUAUCACUUAGAGGAAGGAGAAGUCGUANCA
rnacentral:rRNA from 1 species